UACGAAGGGGGCUAGCGUUGUUUCGGAAUUACUGGGCGUAAAGCGCGCGCAGGCGGUCUUCCAAGUCAGUGGUGAAAGCCUGGAGCUCAACUCCAGAACUGCCAUUGAAACUGUUAGACUUUGAGUACGAGAGAGGUGAGUGGAAUUCCCAGUGUAGAGGUGAAAUUCGUAGAUAUUGGGAAGAACACCAGUGGCGAAGGCGGCUCACUGGCUCGUAACUGACGCUCAGGCGCGACAGCGUGGGAGUCAAACAGG
rnacentral:rRNA from 1 species